rnacentral:lncRNA from 10 species
AUGGGCUCCUGUCCAGGGUUGGUUGCUGCAUUGAGCACUGAGCUGCCAGGAUAAGCUCCAGCUUCCUGCACCUCUGAACUGGAAUAAGUUGUCCACUUAUUCCAGUUCAGUGUUGAAGAUGGCUGGAGCCCAUCCCAGUAGCUCAGGGCAGAAGGCAGGAACCAACCCUGGGUAAGAUGUCAUGUCAUUGCAGAGCUCACUCACACACAUCCACUGAUAUAAUUUGGGUCUGUGUCUCUGCCCACAUUUCAUGUCAAAUUAUAACCCCAGUGUUGAAGGUUGGACCUGGUGGGAAGUAAUUGGAUCAUGUGGGUUGAUUUCCUCUUGGGUGCUGUUCUCCUGAUAGUGAGUGAGGUCUCAUGAGUUCUGGUUGUUUAAAAGUGUGUAGCACCUCCCACCUUGCUCUCCUUCUCCUGCUCUGUCCAUGUAAGAUGUGCCUGCUUCCCCUUCAACUUCUGCCAUGACUGUAGGUUUCCUGAGGCCUCCCCAACCAUGCUUAUUGUGCAGCCUGUAGAACCAUGAGCCAAUUAAACUUCUUUUCUUUAUAAAUUACCAUUCUCAGGUAGUUCUUUAUAAUAGUGCGAGAAUGUAUUAAUACAGAAAAUUGGUACCGGGGAAGUUGGGCAUUGCUAUUAGAGGUACUGAGAGGUACUUAGAGAAAGAAGAAAUAAAAACUAAAAGAGAAAACAAGUUUUCCUGUAUUAGGCUGUGUCAUCCCAAAAAGCAGUGACAGACACAGCCCAGGCCCAGGCAAGGUCCUGAUAACACUAUCUAAAAAGUCAGAACCCAAAAGGAAUGUUCUCUUGAGACUCUCCCAGCACUCCCCAACAUAAGGAUAAGAAAAACAAAAUUCCUCUUUUAGCCCUUUACCCACUCCCCAUAAAUAUUUUGCAAGUUUUGUAAGUUCCGGUUUCUCCUUCAAUGCAGCUGCAAGGUCACAAGCUAUGCUGGAUAUUACGAGACCUGUCACUAUUUAAUUAACUGUCCUUGUUCUGCUUCUGUAAGCUUGCUUAUGAAAAUCAAGCCCUUUCUUUGUUCUAGGCUCAGCUUUUUGGAUAUGAAUCCACUGAGCCAUUGUAC